UCGUGAUCGACCCUUCUGCGUUCAUCGAGAGUGCAUAAAGGUCAUCGGUUGUCAGAGGAAAGCGGAAUUAGGGUUUCGGGAAUUCCCCCUUCGAGCUCCCAAUUCUCCCGUUUCGUUGUGCUCCCAUCUCGACUUGGAUCGGGUUGGGUUCGAGGGUAGUCCUCGGCGCCGAUGAUCUCUGCCUCGGAUCCGCUGAGAUGAGACCGUUAGAGGACCUCCUCACCGCGGUCUCCCUUGCGGCCGCGCCGGCGGGGACGGAAGCGGAGACGGUUGUGCUUCCGGGACCCGCAGGCGGGAGCGCGUCGGUCUCCCCGUCGUGGCUCGUGGGUUGCCAUGGGCUCCUGUACAAUCUCGCAUUGAUCGUCCCCUCGGUGAUCUUUGUCGCCUACCUCGCGUCUCUGGCACGGAAGAGCUUCGCCAAGCUCACGAAUGGCUACUCUUAUGUCAUGAUUGCCUAUUACGCCCUCCUCUGGCUCAUCAGCGUUCUCAAUCUUCUAUGGUGCCUUGUCCAGGCAUGGCAAUGUUCGCCUGAGAAAGAAUUAUCUUGGAAUAUGUUGUCAUUGUUCACAGAAUCUGGGAUGUUAUUUUUAGAAGUUAGCUUGUUGGCCUUUCUACUUCAAGGAAAUCAUGCAGGUGGAUUGGACGUUUUAACACGUACAUUUGUAAUAUCAGGAGUAAUUGUUGCUGCUGAUACAUUAUUGAAGGCAAUCUAUAUAUUUGGUUUCGGGGUUCCAUUAUUUGCAGACAACAAUGAAACAGCACAUCAAGCAAGAUGGGGUUUGUGGAUUGUCCACAAGUUGUUGCUUACUGCAGUCUAUGGCUCCAUUUUUUUCAUGCACCACUCAAAGUGGAGAGAGAGAUUGCCAGCAAGACCAGCAUUCUACAAUUAUGUAUGUGUUAUGCUGUUAUUAAAUACAAUGUCCCUGUUUGGUUGUCUGCUUGCGGGAAAUGGAGCUGGAUUCGGGAUCUGGUUGUCCAAUCUUAUAACCGUAUGCUACCACUCUCUCUAUCUUCCGCUUCUCUAUGUGAUCUUCCUGGCAGAUUUUUUCCAGGAAGAAGAUUUGCGCUUAGAGAACGUGUACUACUCCGAGAUGAAAGAUGCUGGUUUCUUCGAUGACGAUUGGGAUUAGUAUGUCAGUCGGAUAGGUCUACUAUUCUCUGUCACUUUGCUCGAUGCAUGUCGUUUUUUCUGUAACAUGAUAUCAAAGAGGAACAGCUGGUGGCAAAAUUAAGGUUAAAGAAGAAAAGUGAGUUGUAUGAGCGGCCCCUCAUUCUAGUUGCACUUGGUACCACUGUAUGGAGCCAAGCUGGCCAUCGAUCUCUAGCUCGCAUACAGACCUGACGAGGUGAGAAAC